rnacentral:piRNA from 1 species
UACCCAAGUUUGGCAGCCAUACAGUAGA